rnacentral:rRNA from 1 species
UACGUAGGGUGCAAGCGUUGUCCGGAUUUAUUGGGCGUAAAGAGCUCGUAGGCGGUUUGUCGCGUCGGAUGUGAAAUCCCAGGGCUCAACCCUGGGCCUGCAUUCGAUACGGGCAGACUAGAGUAUGGCAGGGGAGACUGGAAUUCCUGGUGUAGCGGUGAAAUGCGCAGAUAUCAGGAGGAACACCGAUGGCGAAGGCAGGUCUCUGGGCCAUAACUGACGCUGAGGCACGAAGGCGUGGGUAGCAAACAGG